rnacentral:rRNA from 1 species
UUGACCUCGAAUCAGGUAGGGAUACCCGCUGAACUUAAGCAUAUCAAUAAACG